rnacentral:rRNA from 1 species
CCUACGGGAGGCAGCAGUGGGGAAUUUUGGACAAUGGGCGCAAGCCUGAUCCAGCCAUGCCGCGUGCGGGAAGAAGGCCUUCGGGUUGUAAACCGCUUUUGUCAGGGAAGAAAUCCUUUGAGUUAAUACCUCGGGGGGAUGACGGUACCUGAAGAAUAAGCACCGGCUAACUACGUGCCAGCAGCCGCGGUAAUACGUAGGGUGCGAGCGUUAAUCGGAAUUACUGGGCGUAAAGCGUGCGCAGGCGGUCUUGCAAGACAGGUGUGAAAUCCCCGGGCUUAACCUGGGAACUGCACUUGUGACUGCAAGGCUGGAGUACGGCAGAGGGGGAUGGAAUUCCGCGUGUAGCAGUGAAAUGCGUAGAUAUGCGGAGGAACACCGAUGGCGAAGGCAAUCCCCCUGGGCCUGUACUGACGCUCAUGCACGAAAGCGUGGGGAGCAAACAGGAUUAGAUACCCUGGUAGUCCACGCCCUAAACGAUGUCAACUGGUUGUUGGACGGCUUGCUGUUCAGUACGAAGCUAACGCGUGAAGUUGACCGCCUGGGGAUACGGCCGCAAGGUUGAAACCUUAAGGAAUUGACGG